AGUGAACGCUGGCGGUAGGCCUAACACAUGCAAGUCGAACGGCAGCACAGUAAGAGCUUGCUCUUACGGGUGGCGAGUGGCGGACGGGUGAGGAAUACUUCGGAAUCUACUUUUUCGUGGGGGAUAACGUAGGGAAACUUACGCUAAUACCGCAUACGACCUACGGGUGAAAGCAGGGGAUCUUCGGACCUUGCGCGAUUGAAUGAGCCGAUGUCGGAUUAGCUAGUUGGCGGGGUAAAGGCCCACCAAGGCGACGAUCCGAAGCUGGUCUGAGAGGAUGAUCAGCCACACUGGAACUGAGACACGGUCCAGACUCCUACGGGAGGCAGCAGUGGGGAAUAUUGGACAAUGGGCGCAAGCCUGAUCCAGCCAUACCGCGUGGGUGAAGAAGGCCUUCGGGUUGUAAAGCCCUUUUGUUGGGAAAGAAAAGCAGCAGGUUAAUACCCCGCUGUUCUGACGGUACCCAAAGAAUAAGCACCGGCUAACUUCGUG
rnacentral:rRNA from 1 species